CCCCUGAAUGAUCUUGAUGCUUUUCACACAGUUCAGGACCUGUAUAGCAGCAUUCCAAGAACGACUCAAACUGUUCCAAAAGCAAAUAAAUAAAACGUUUAAUCUAUUCCUUGUUCGGUCCUUAAAGUUAUUAUAUUAAUAGGGUCCCACAACAACAAUACGAUCAUAAAGGAGGUCUUUGUCAAGCCAUCAAGAGGUGUGCUGGUCUGUUUCUUUCUAAAACUGAAGCUGUUAAAACUGUUGUGGACUUCUAAAUCUUCACAGGU